AGGAUGAACGCUGGCGGCGUGCCUAAUACAUGCAAGUCGAGCGAACGGACGAGAAGCUUGCUUCUCUGAUGUUAGCGGCGGACGGGUGAGUAACACGUGGAUAACCUACCUAUAAGACUGGGAUAACUUCGGGAAACCGGAGCUAAUACCGGAUAAUAUUUUGAACCGCAUGGUUCAAAAGUGAAAGACGGUCUUGCUGUCACUUAUAGAUGGAUCCGCGCUGCAUUAGCUAGUUGGUAAGGUAACGGCUUACCAAGGCAACGAUGCAUAGCCGACCUGAGAGGGUGAUCGGCCACACUGGAACUGAGACACGGUCCAGACUCCUACGGGAGGCAGCAGUAGGGAAUCUUCCGCAAUGGGCGAAAGCCUGACGGAGCAACGCCGCGUGAGUGAUGAAGGUCUUCGGAUCGUAAAACUCUGUUAUUAGGGAAGAACAUAUGUGUAAGUAACUGUGCACAUCUUGACGGUACCUAAUCAGAAAGCCACGGCUAACUACGUGCCAGCAGCCGCGGUAAUACGUAGGUGGCAAG
rnacentral:rRNA from 1 species